rnacentral:rRNA from 1 species
UUCGCAAUGCCCGAAAGGGUGAACGAGCGACGCCGCGUGCGGGAUGAAGGGCUUCGGCUUGUAAACCGCUUUUCUUUGGGAAGAAGGUCCGGGUCGUGAACCUGGGCUUGACGGUACCGAGGGAAUAAGCCCCGGCUAACUCCGUGCCAGCAGCCGCGGUAAGACGGAGGGGGCAAGCGUUGUUCGGAAUCACUGGGCAUAAAGCGCGCGUAGGUGGCGUGGUAAGUCAGUGGUGAAAUCCCAUAGCUUAACUAUGGAACUGCCGCCGAUACUGCCAUGCUUGAGGACGGUAGGGGAGAGUGGAACUCCUGGUGUAGCGGUGAAAUGCGUAGAUAUCAGGAGGAACGCCGGUGGCGAAAGCGACUCUCUGGGCCGCUCCUGACACUGAUGCGCGAGAGCUAGGGGAGCAAACAGGAUUAGAUACCCUGGUAGUCCUAGCUGUAAACGAUGGGCACUAAGUAGAGGGGUUUU